rnacentral:snoRNA from 1 species
UCUGGCAAGGCUGAUAUUUACUUGCCCUCACUUAGACCAUAGCAUUAUUCUGAGCCAGU